rnacentral:lncRNA from 1 species
UCUAUGAAAUUCAAAAAAAGGGGUUCGGGAGUCGGUUACGCACGAGGAAGGAUUAGCACCCUCGAUACGCCCAAAAUUGGUACCUAGUUGAUUAAUUAGUGUCUUAGUGUCAAAAAUUGAAAAUUUGAAGAGUUUUAAAAAUACGAUCCUUAAAAGAAACUCUGAUAACGUGAAUUGAAAUAUAAGAUUCUCUUGUUCCGAAGGAAUAUCACAUCCAGCACGUUAGGACACGAUACUCUAAACCAUCGAAACCAAGAUCACCUUAUAGUUUAAUGAAACCAUACUUUGAAGCUUUAAGAGGAUAUUUGGCUAUUUAGUCGAACGAGAAAUCGAAACCCAGCACGUUAGGGCACGUUUUCUCGAUUUU